rnacentral:tRNA from 1 species
UUGUACCAGCGCAGUGGUUAGCGCCCUUGUAUCCAGCCGGGAGGUCUGGGGUUCGAAUCCCAGACAAC